AUAUUCAGCCCUAGUUAUUGCUUCUCUACUUGUCUCUGCUUCUCACUCGUCUCUCAUCACUCCCUCUCCACAACCAACGGUGCCUUGCAAGUGAAGAAGCCUCCCGCCAAGGACCGCCACAGCAAGGUCGACAGGCCCGAUUCUGCGGCGAGGCCGGUGAGGCCUGCGCCUCAGGGCCGAAAACCAAAGGGCCUCAUUUUUGGACAGUAAUUCAAAAUGCCACAAGCAAAAGGCGAAAGAAAAUGGGGAAAUAUAAUCAAUAGCGCACAAAUCUUAAGCCCUCCGACAUGAGGCCGCUUGGGCUGCCAAACGAAAUUUCAAUUUUGGCGACUAUUCAGGUAUCAACAAGAAGGCAUAAAUUGGCUAGCAUUUUUAAAGCGAUUUAACCAUCAUGGCAUCUUAUGUGAUGAUAUGGGUCUAGGUAAAACCCUUCAAUCAUCAACAAUCGUGGCAUCUGAUGUAGCAAAGCGCAUUGCUGUUAAUGCUAAUGAUCUACCACCAUCAUUAAUAGUGUGCCCAUCAACGCUUGUUGGGCACUGGGUGAAUGAGAUAGAGAAGUUUAUUGAAUCUUAUCUUUUAGCAUCACUUCAAUACAUCGGUUCUGCUCAAGAGCGCUCGUCUCUUCAACCACAAUUUGAUAAGCACAAUGUUAUUGUAACAUCAUAUGUGAUAUGACUAGUCCGUAAAGAUAUUGAUUAUCUCAGCCAACUUUUCUGGAACUACUGCAUUUUGGACGAGGUACAUAUAAUAAAGAACUCAAAGUCCAAAGUCACAGGUGCAGUGAAACAAUUGAAAGCUCAGCGCCGUCUGAUACAGAAUGGGACACCAAUCCAGAAUAACGUGUUGGAUCUUUGGUCUCUUUUUGACUUUCUCAUGCCAGGAUUUUUUGGAACAGAAAGACAAGUUGGAGCUCCAACUCGUGUUGGUCUAGUCGCUUCAGUAGAUGUUAUUGUCCCACCUGGCAACAUUGGACUUGAUCCAUCCCGGACUUCUUUUUUCCAGUUAAUGGUUAUUUUCUGAAUGGAUUGGCGUUCGAACAUGUCUGAACAGUGUGGCUUUCAUAUGGGGAAGAGGGAUGAUGUUAAUGGGUGUAUAGAAAUAUGCAUAUGAGCUGUCCCUAGCUCUUUGUUUACAGUUACACAAGGGGGAGAAAAGUUGCAUUAGUGAUGCUGGUUAUAAAUUACGAUGUUAUGCCUCUAAAUGUUGUAGUGGUUUCUUAUACCCAUCACCUAAUUUUUAGAUUAAUGAAAUGAAUUUUUUACUUAUU